GAGAGGGGUGAUUAGAGAGAACUAGGAGAGAGUGAUUGGGAGGGAAGAAUUAAGUACAGGAGGUAGAAAGUAUGAAAGAAUGAGAGAGGGCACAGUGAUGGGAGUUUUGGAAAGAUUGGAGGUAGGAAACAGUGCUCAGAAGGGAAAGACUCCGAUGGUUUGGACAUGUAAAGAGAGCAGGGGAGGACACAGUGCUGGGAGAGACUGGAGGUAGGAAACAGUGCUCAGAAGGGAAAGACUCUGAUGGUUUGGACAUGUAAAGAGAGCAGGGGAGGACACAGUGCUGGGAGAGACUGGAGGUAGGAAACAGUGCUCAGAAGGGAAAGACUCCGAUGGUUUGGACAUGUAAAGAGAGCAGGGGAGGACACAGUGCUGGGAGAGACUGGAGGUAGGAAACAGUGCUCAGAAGGGAAAGACUCUGAUGGUUUGGACAUGUAAAGAGAGCAGGGGAGGACACAGUGCUGGGAGAGACUGGAGGUAGGAAACAGUGCUCAGAAGGGAAAGACUCUGAUGGUUUGGACAUGUAAAGAGAGCAGGGGAGGACACAGUGCUGGGAGAGACUGGAGGUAGGAAACAGUGCUCAGAAGGGAAAGACUCUGAUGGUUUGGACAUGUACAGAGAGCAGGGCAGAGAUUGAGUCCAGUAACAACACCAGCAACCCUCG